CAAUAGCGUAUAUUAAAGUUGUUGCAGUUAAAAAGCUCGUAGUUGGAUUUGUGGCUGUCACGGGCGGCCUAUCACUUAGUGUUAGUGCUUGCCUGUGUCGCCAUCCUUGGGUGGAGCCCGUGUGGCAUUAGGUUGUCGUGCGGGGGACGCCCAUCGUUUACUGUGAGAAAAUUAGAGUGUUCAAAGCAGGCUUAUGCCGUUGAAUAUGUUAGCAUGGAAUAAUAAGAUAGGACCUCGGUACUAUUUUGUUGGUUUGCGCACCGAGGUAAUGAUUAAUAGGGACAGUUGGGGGUAUUCGUAUUUCAUUGUCAGAGGUGAAAUUCUUGGAUUUCUGAAAGACGAACUACUGCGAAAGCAUUUACCAAGGAUGUUUUCAUUAA
rnacentral:rRNA from 1 species